rnacentral:RNase_P_RNA from 1 species
GUUUUCGGAUAAUUGCAGCUUAGGUAACUAGGUUGAGGAAAGUCCAUGCUCGCACAAGCUGAGAUGCUUGUAGUGUUCGUGCUUAGUGAAACCAUAAGCUAAGGUAUUCGCAAGAAUAACGGCAGCCAAAACAGCUAAGGUCCUCGGACUAUGCUGGAGUAAGCUUGAAAGUGCCACAGUGACGAAGCAAUUUUAGAAAUGAAAUUGGUGGAACGCGGUAAACCCCUCGAGCGAGCAACCCAAACUACGGUCGGGGCACUUUUUUCAAGGAAAUGAACGAAGAAAAGAGACAGAUUUAUCUGUAGACAGAUGAUUAUCGUUGCCAGUUUUUACCUGAGAACUGGCAAUACAGAACAUGGCUUAUAGAA